rnacentral:misc_RNA from 1 species
AACCAUAGAAACCUGCGGAGUACCUGCGGAAGGAUCAUUACAGAGUUGCAAAACUCCCUAAACCAUUGUGAACGUUACCUAAACCGUUGCUUCGGCGGGCGGCCCGGGUCCUUCCCGGCGCCCCUCGGCCCUCGCGGGCGCCCGCCGGAGGUAAACCAAACUAUUGCAUUUGUAUGGCCUCUCUGAGUCUUCUGUACUGAAUAAGUCAAAACUUUUAACAACGGAUCUCAGAUCGGAAGA